UACCCGGUUCAAUGGUCAUUGUGAUAUCCAAGUGGUCAACCCCACACAAUUCUCAGCGCCAAUCUCACUCACAGUCACGGCACAGAACUCAGAUCCUGGUUGGAGUCCCAACUCCUGACUCGUAAGCAAAACUUUGAAAUUUCGCAUCUCCUUUUCACUAUAUCCUCAAAGAAACUGCAAUCGAUCAAGCAAGUCUCCAGUCGUUGAAGUACGAUUAUCGUAAUUACCCAGAUCGUAUAAAUUAGAAAAUGCCUUACAGGAGAAUCAUGGAGGUAGAGCCGCCGAGUCCGUUAAGGUACAUAAUCGGCGCAGCAAUAAUGAUGAUCGGAGUGGUGUUACCCGUCGGUUACAUGAUGUUUCGUAACAAGAGGGGUCCUUCUUCUUCUUCCACUUACUCCAAACAGACGGCAAAGUUUUGAUAGAGAUUUAAAGAGAGGAUUUUUAUACAAUAGAAAUUGCGCUGUCUGGGUUAAGUUUGAAGGAGUUGCAAGAAGAAAAGGAUGAGGUGCAUUGACAGAAAAUCUAAUUCUGUUAUAUUUGUUAUUGCUGGGGAACUCUGAGUUUUAUAAAAUGGAACUGAAUGUGGUUUGAUUCUAAGUUUUUGAUCUAGUAAAUAUGCUAAUGCCAUUUCAAACUCGUCUUUGUUCGUUGGAUGAAUAUGUGUAAGAAGGACAGACACUUGAUUGAAUUUGUCUUCUUGUUCUGUUUUUAGCCUUAUCAUCUAGGGAACCUGCGUAUGAGAAUACGCUACGGGUUAUGUGUUUUUGUGGUGAAUUUCAAAUUUGCUUUGUAGAAUCUAGAAUGUCAAGUGAUGUCGCUGACACUGCAGAAUGCUUAUUGUUUGAAAUUGGUGAUCUUUUUUUUAUUUUUUUGGACUAGCGUCUUGGAUGUGCUUGGCGGCUUGGGUUAUGCUAAUUACUGAUGUGCUACAUGAUGGUUGGAUUUACUGGAGCAUAUGGUGUAACAAUGUUCUGUCGGUACGUUCACUCUGUAUGAACUUGAGCUAUGAUACCGAAGAAUUGGAAAUGAUUUGUUAGAAUGAUUAAAGUUGAUGUUUUCAUUGUGGAAGCCUAUGGAUCUGGGAAUGUAGAAAAGACUAGAGAGUGGAAAAUGCAAGUGCUUGAAAUGUAUUGCCAUUUUGCUGGCAGCUACUAUGGAACUUUUUACGAGCUACCUUUUGGAAUUGAAGUGUUUGGUAGUGCAAAAAAUGCAGGAUACACAAGGAUUGGUGAUGAGGUUUAGUGAAAACCCCCCGAGGAUGAUGUUGUUUUCAAAGUUGAUGAUUGGACUAAAAGGUUGAGAAUGGAUCGCUGGACUUGAGAAUCAUGAACACUUGCAAAGCAGGUCCUUUGUUGGAUUUAAGGGAUCAUUCGAUGCUUAUGUUAGCUCAAAUGUAGGAGUACAGAAGCCUUAAAGUUGUUUAGUGUGCUUGAUUUCAGAGUUUAAAGGUGAUGUAAUGGAAGAGAUGAUCAGAAGUUGAAGGUGAAGAAUAUGAACAAAGAAAUCUUUUACCUGAUGGUUCAUGAAUUCUUAUAUAGCUAUGAACCAUGUCAACUUGCAUGAAGAUAAGGAUAAAAAGUGGUAAAUAUUGCAUAUUUAUUUUUAGAGUUUAGGGGGUGUUUGAGAGUUGAGAGUGAGUUUUAAUUUUAUUUUAUUUUUUGGUCAAAAUUUAAAGUUUUUUUUUUCACUUCAAAUUAAUUUUUUUUAAUGUUUUUGAAUUGUUUUUAUAUAUUAUGUUAAAAAUGAAUUUUAUAUAUAUUAAUUUGAUAUUUUUUUAAUUUUAAAAAACAAUUAGUAAGCACAGUUUUAAGUGAGUUGUGGGGUUUACAAGGCUUCUUUUGAGUCGUUCUUUUCUCGAGUCCAGUGGAGCAAUAGGCUACAUGAUAUACUCGAGUUUAAAGGUUAGGUUACAUAGUAUAUCCGAGUCUAAAGAGGUGUACUUCGCACUCGAGUCCUGACACCCAAGUAAUCAUGACUGCUUCUCCGAAGGAAUAAAAACAGUUGAAUUUCUGGCCGCCAAAUGUGUUUCAAAGCAUUUGUUUCAUUUUGCUUCUCUAUUUAUUUGAUUCCCCUCAUUAAGAAUCGUCACCUUUAUUGACCGAUCAAGAAAUCACCCAACCUCUAAGAAUGUGUUCUUAUCCUUAAAUAGAGCAUUUUCCUUGGUCUUUUGCAUGAUCUUCAAUUAAUACUGUUAAUUAAGCCUGAUUAAACAAAUUGAUGAGCAAAGAAGGAUUUGCUGAGACAUGAAGGCCAAUGACCUUCCAAAAAUGAGCAAGUGCUGAUUUCUGACAAGCAGAUUAGUUGACUUGGCCAAGGGCAAAAACAAUUCAAAAGUGCCUAAAGAAAAUGAUGAAGAGGAAUAUACCAAGCAUGCAUGACUAGGCUGCCUACUGGGGGCAAAAGAGAUGGAUUAAUCAAUGAUCGGGGCCUGAAAACCAGGAGGCAAGAGCGGGCAUAAAUAGCAGUAAUGGUCCUCCAACAAGAUGAGGUCUAAAAUAGUUUAUCUGAAAUCACGACAGGGGAAGGCAAAACUGUUGAAAUCUUGAUACAAAUUAAGGAGAGACCCGCAGCCUAAAUCGGCAAUCUUGCGAGCUCAAGCAAACUAGCAGUCGAAACCCAGCGCUAUUUGAAUCUACGAUCACAGCUCGACAAAUUGAAGAGGGUGUUGAACGUUUUUGGAACGACCUUCAGAAACACAGCACGCACAAACCCAAACACCAACACAAUUGCAUGUAUGUGUCUUGAAACAGUAAGAUGUGACCCAGGCAAUUGUGUGGGCUGCUCUCUUCGGUGUUUCGACUUUCGAAAUCAUCCAGGGCACGAUUACUCAUCAACAUGCCAUCAUUGUUUUCAAGUACCUGUCAAUGUUUAAAAUUAUUGCUAGUAAUGGUCUCUCAUUUUCAAUUCUCGGAUGCCAGUAAACUAGUUAUAUCUAAUUGAACUGAGGGUUCUGUCUAUGUUUUGACUAAAAGCUGGAGUUCAGUCACAGCCUUUUGCUUUUAAAGUUUGGUGAUUAUUGAUGGUUUGAGCUCUGCAGUGCUAGAUCUUUUCUUUCAUGAGCCGUAAAUAACCGUGUUCCAUUGACAAUCUUGCUUUCUGGUUCAGGUACCAGAUAUAAUUGACAUAUGCAUAUGUUAGGGAUGCUUGACCUUCGCAUGUUUGCUAAAGGCAGUAAAAACGAGCAAGAAAUGUCUGUUUGUGGUGUAGGAAAGAUAGUCCCCCAUUAUGCUGCUCCAUUCUUGGGCAUGUAUGCAUGUCCUUUCACUCAGACAUUGAAAGCUGAGGAUGGUCGAGUUAAGUGAGUUGUCUUCAAGUAUAUUGGAGUUGGAUUGUAUAUAUUUGCGAAUACAGUUAGGCUUCCUUUUAAGUGUGAUUCUGCAUGAACUUGUUUUCUAGAUGCAUCAUUGAUCUAGCUAUUUGGAACACCUUAACUUCUUGUCUGCAUUUCGAGCAAAAGGAGAAAAAGCUCCUGCAGUGAAUUGGCAAGAAGGGUUGAUUUCAGUGGCUAUUGAGUUGCAGCCCAGCUUUCUAUUGAGAAGGGUCAAUUUGUUAGAAGUCAGGAAGUCAUGGAUGAACAUUAGUUAAGCUAUUAUGCAAGUCUUGACGUUGGCAACACCGCUGCUUCUUGUUUUACUCUCCUUUAUUGUUCUUCU